UACGGGGGGGGCAAGCGUUGUUCGGAAUUACUGGGCAUAAAGGGCUCGUAGGUGGCCAACUAAGUCAGACGUGAAAUCCCUCAGCUUAACUGGGGAACUGCGUCUGAUACUGGAUGGCUUGAGUUUGGGAGAGGGAUGCGGAAUUCCAGGUGUAGCGGUGAAAUGCGUAGAUAUCUGGAGGAACACCGGUGGCGAAGGCGGCAUCCUGGACCAACACUGACACUGAUGAGCGAAAGCCAGGGGAGCAAACAGG
rnacentral:rRNA from 1 species